rnacentral:lncRNA from 1 species
UUUUCAGUGGACUAUCCUAACGAUAGUAUUACGGCCGUUAGUGGAACCUACAAACAUAUUUUCACCUAUGAUACGACUCUCAUCACAUCGCUUUACUUCACAACCUCCAAAGGUUUCACCUCUCCAUUAUUCGGUAUCGACAGUGAAAAGAAGGGAACAGAAUUCGAGUUCAAAGGUGAAAAUGGAGGAAAGCUUCUUGGGUUCCACGGACGUGGCGGUAAUGCUAUUGAUGCAAUAGGAGCUUACUUCGACACCGGUUCACAAGGAGGUAAGGGUGGCGACGGUUCAAAAACUGAUGUCCCAGGGAAGAAGGGACCUCUUGGUGGUGACAAGGGAGAAGAGUUCAACGAUGUUGGUUUCGAAGGUGUGAAGAAAAUUACCGUAGGAGCCGAUCAAUACAGUGUAACUUACAUCAAGAUCGAAUACGUGAAAGAUGGAAAAGUCGAAAUCCGUGAGCACGGGACAAGUCGUGGGGAACUACAAGAGGUAAUAAAUGCGAAUUUUUGUCACACUAUUCAAUUGGUUCGUUACUAAUAUAGAUUUGUUUCUAACCAACAGUUUUCAGUGGACUAUCCUAACGAUAGUAUUACGGCCGUUAGUGGAACCUACAAACGUGUUUACACCUAUGAUACGACUCUCAUCACAUCACUUUACUUCACAACCUCCAAAGGUUUCACCUCUCCAUUAUUCGGUAUCAACAGUGAGAAGAAGGGAACCGAAUUCGAGUUCAAAGGUGAAAAUGGAGGAAAGCUUAUUGGUUUGCAUGGACGUGGUGGUAAUGCUAUUGAUGCAAUUGGAGCUUACUUUGACACCGGUUCACAAGGUGGUGACGGAGGCGACGUCCCUAGUAAAGACGGUCCUAACACUGAUGUCCCCGGGAAGAAGGGACCGCUUGGUGGUGACAAGGGAGAACCAUUCGACGAUGUUGGUUUUGAAGGUGUGAAGAAAAUAACCGUCGGAGUAGACAACUUAAGCAUAACUUAUAUCAAGAUCGAAUACGUAAAAGAUGGAAAAGUUGAAGUCCGUGAGCACGGAACGGCUCGUGGGAAACUACAAGAGGUAUAAAAUAAAAUUUAUUGGUGACUUAUGUUAAAAUAUUCAAUUAGUUUGAUACUAAUACGUUUGCUUCUAAUGGUAAAUGAAAUACAGUUUUCAGUGGACUAUCCAAACGAUAGUAUCACGGAAGUUGCUGGAACCUACAAACAUAACUACACCUAUGAUACGACUCUCAUCACAUCGCUUUACUUCACAACCUCCAAAGGUUUCACCUCUCCAUUGUUCGGUAUCGACAGUGAAAAGAAGGGAACAGAAUUCGAGUUCAAAGAUGAAAAUGGAGGAAAACUUAUUGGGUUUCAUGGACGUGGUGG